rnacentral:tRNA from 1 species
GCCGAGAUAGCUCAGUUGGGAGAGCGUCAGACUGAAGAUCUGAAGGUCGCUGGUUCAAUCCCGGCUCUCGGCA